rnacentral:rRNA from 1 species
UACGUAGGGGGCUAGCGUUGUCCGGAAUCAUUGGGCGUAAAGCGCGUGUAGGCGGUUCGGUAAGUCCGCUGUGAAAGUCGGGGGCUCAACCCUCGGAUGCCGGUGGAUACUGUCGGACUAGAGUACGGAAGAGGCGAGUGGAAUUCCUGGUGUAGCGGUGAAAUGCGCAGAUAUCAGGAGGAACACCGGUGGCGAAGGCGGCAUCCUGGACCGGCAUUGACGCUGAGGCGCGAAAGCUAGGGGAGCAAACGGG